AAAGAAAGCGUAAUAGCUCACUGGUCGAGUCGGCCUGCGCGGAAGAUGUAACGGGGCUAAACCAUGCACCGAAGCUGCGGCAGCGACGCUUAUGCGUUGUUGGGUAGGGGAGCGUUCUGUAAGCCUGUGAAGGUGUACUGUGAGGUAUGCUGGAGGUAUCAGAAGUGCGAAUGCUGACAUAAGUAACGAUAAAGCGGGUGAAAAGCCCGCUCGCCGGAAGACCAAGGGUUCCU
rnacentral:rRNA from 1 species